rnacentral:tRNA from 1 species
GCCCCCGUCGUACCGGUAGGUACGCACCCGAAAAGCAAGUCCUCCUAAACCGGGGGUAGCUGGAAAGCGUGGGUUCGAAUCCCACCGGGGGCA